AUCCAGCUGACGAGUCCCGAAUAGGACAUACGCGCGUCCUGGAU
rnacentral:hammerhead_ribozyme from 1 species